rnacentral:rRNA from 1 species
AGUGAACGCUGGCGGUAGGCCUAACACAUGCAAGUCGAACGGCAGCACAGUAAGAGCUUGCUCUUACGGGUGGCGAGUGGCGGACGGGUGAGGAAUACAUCGGAAUCUACUUUUUCGUGGGGGAUAACGUAGGGAAACUUACGCUAAUACCGCAUACGACCUACGGGUGAAAGCAGGGGAUCUUCGGACCUUGCGCGAUUGAAUGAGCCGAUGUCGGAUUAGCUAGUUGGCGGGGUAAAGGCCCACCAAGGCGACGAUCCGUAGCUGGUCUGAGAGGAUGAUCCGCCACACUGGAACUGAGACACGGUCCAGACUCCUACGGGGGCAGCAGUGGGGAAUAUUGGACAAUGGGCGCAAGCCUGAUCCAGCCAUACCGCGUGGGUGAAGAAGGCCUUCGGGUUGUAAAGCCCUUUUGUUGGGAAAGAAAAGCAGCAGGUUAAUACCCCGCUGUUCUGACGGUACCCAAAGAAUAAGCACCGGCUAACUUCGUG